ACACAUGCAAGUCGAACGAAGCUUGACGAAUGAUUUCUUCGGAAUGAAAUCUGAUAUGACUGAGUGGCGGACGGGUGAGUAACGCGUGAGCAACCUGCCCUUCGGAACGGGAUAGUGUCUGGAAACGGACAGUAAUACCGUAUAACGUAUUUUUACCGCAUGAUAGAAAUACCAAAACUGAGGUGCCGAAGGAUGGGCUCGCGUCUGAUUAGAUAGUUGGUGGGGUAACGGCCUACCAAGUCGACGAUCAGUAGCCGGACUGAGAGGUUGAACGGCCACAUUGGGACUGAGACACGGCCCAGACUCCUACGGGAGGCAGCAGUGGGGAAUAUUGCACAAUGGGGGAAACCCUGAUGCAGCAACGCCGCGUGAAGGAAGACGGUUUUCGGAUUGUAAACUUCUGUUCUUAGUGAAGAAUAAUGACGGUAGCUAAGGAGCAAGCCACGGCUAACUACGUGCCAGCAGCCGCGGUAAUACGUAGGUGGCAAGCGUUGUCCGGAAUUACUGGGUGUAAAGGGAGCGUAGGCGGGAUGCCAAGUCAGCUGUGAAAACUAUGGGCUUAACCUGUAGACUGCAGUUGAAACUGGUAUUCUUGAGUGAAGUAGAGGUUGGCGGAAUUCCGAGUGUAGCGGUGAAAUGCGUAGAUAUUCGGAGGAACACCGGUGGCGAAGGCGGCCAACUGGGCUUUAACUGACGCUGAGGCUCGAAAGUGUGGGGAGCAAACAGGAUUAGAUACCCUGGUAGUCCACACUGUAAACGAUGAUAACUAGGUGUGGGGGGUCUGACCCCUUCCGUGCCGCAGCUAACGCAAUAAGUUAUCCACCUGGGG
rnacentral:rRNA from 1 species